AGUGGCGAACGGGUGAGUAACACGUGGGCAACCUGCCCAAAAGAGGGGGAUAACACUUGGAAACAGGUGCUAAUACCGCAUAACCAUAGUUACCGCAUGGUAACUAUGUAAAAGGUGGCUAUGCUACCGCUUUUGGAUGGGCCCGCGACGCAUUAGCUAGUUGGUGGGGUAAAGGCUUACCAAGGCAAUGAUGCGUAGCCGAACUGAGAGGUUGAUCGGCCACAUUGGGACUGAGACACGGCCCAAACUCCUACGGGAGGCAGCAG
rnacentral:rRNA from 1 species